AAUAAUAGAAUAAACUAUGUACAGUAAAAUUGUCUGGAAAACAAUAAUAAAAUUAAUCUUUUAUCCCCCUUUUUAAAGGGUAGUUGGUAAGAUUAAUUUAUAAUAAAAUGUAUUAUAUUAAUAUAAUGGUUUAACUGUGCAACAAUUGUAACACAAACAAGUGAAACAAGUACGUAAGUAUGGCAUAAUGAACAAAUAACACUGAUUGUAAUGGUUAUUGAUAACGAAUAAAAGUUACGCUAGGGAUAACAGGGUAAUAUAGCGAAAGAGUAGAUAUUGUAAGCUAUGUUUGCCACCUCGAUGUCGACUCUACCUAUCCUCUUGGUUGUAAGUGCUAAGAAGGGUUUGACUGUUCGUCAAUUAAAAGGUAACGUGAGUUGGGUUAAAUACGAUGUAAAUCAGUAUGGUUCCUAUCUACUAUAGGUAAUAUUAUCAACUUAAGUCUCAUUCUUAGUACGCAAGGAUCAGAAUGAAUUAACCUAUGGUGCAUCUAUUGAUUAUUAUAUAAUAUAUAUAUAUUUUUUAUAUAUAUAUUAUCUAUAUUAGUUUAUAUUUUAAUAAUAGUCAUAGUAGAUAAGCUAAGUUAAUAAAGAAUAAGUAUUGAAUGCAUAUCAAAUACGAAGUUGUCUUAACAUGAGAUAAUUAACUGAUUAUUUUAUACUAAAAUAUAUAUAGGUUUUAUUUUUAUUAUAUUUUUUACAAAUAUAUAUAUAACUAUUGGUUAUUUUAUUUUAUUUGUAGAAAAGAAAUGUAAAAUACUAAUUUAUCAGUUAUCUAUAUAAUAUCUAAUCUAUUAUU
rnacentral:rRNA from 1 species